rnacentral:rRNA from 1 species
AUUGAACGCUGGCGGCAGGCCUAACACAUGCAAGUCGAGCGGAUGAAGGGGGCUUGCUCCUGGAUUCAGCGGCGGACGGGUGAGUAAUGCCUAGGAAUCUGCCUGGUAGUGGGGGAUAACGUCCGGAAACGGGCGCUAAUACCGCAUACGUCCUGAGGGAGAAAGUGGGGGAUCUUCGGACCUCACGCUAUCAGAUGAGCCUAGGUCGGAUUAGCUAGUUGGUGGGGUAAAGGCCUACCAAGGCGACGAUCCGUAACUGGUCUGAGAGGAUGAUCAGUCACACUGGAACUGAGACACGGUCCAGACUCCUACGGGAGGCAGCAGUGGGGAAUAUUGGACAAUGGGCGAAAGCCUGAUCCAGCCAUGCCGCGUGUGUGAAGAAGGUCUUCGGAUUGUAAAGCACUUUAAGUUGGGAGGAAGGGCAGUAAGUUAAUACCUUGCUGUUUUGACGUUACCAACAGAAUAAGCACCGGCUAACUUCGCG